rnacentral:rRNA from 1 species
UUGGAGGGCAAGUCUGGUGCCAGCAGCCGCGGUAAUUCCAGCUCCAAUAGCGUAUAUUAAAGUUGUUGCAGUUAAAAAGCUCGUAGUUGAAUUUCGAGACCGGUUUACUGGUCGUGCUUUUGUACGUACUGGUAUUAUUGGUUUCUCCUUUCUGACGAACUAUAAUGCCAUUAAUUUGGUGUUUUAGGGAAUCAGGACUGUUACUUUGAAAAAAUUAGAGUGUUUAAAGCAGGCUCACGCUUGAAUACAUUAGCAUGGAAUAACGGAAUAGGACGUUUGAUUCUAUUUUGUUGGUUUCUAGGAUCGACGUAAUGAUUAAUAGGGAUAGUUGGGGGCAUUAGUAUUCAAUUGUCAGAGGUGAAAUUCUUGGAUUUAUUGAAGACUAACUACUGCGAAAGCAUUUGCCAAGGAUGUUUUCAUUAAUCAAGAACGAAAGUUAGGGGAUCGAAGACGAUCAGAUACCGUCGUAGUCUUAACCAUAAACUAUGCCGACUAGGGAUCGGAUGAUGUUAAUUUUUUAAUGACUCAUUCGGCGCCUUACGGGAAAC